GGAUAGACGGAGAGAGCAGGGUUUACAACAGGAAGAAGGGCUGAGGUGAGAGGGAUAGACGGAAAGAGCAGGGUUUACAACAGGAAGCAGGGCUGAGGUGAGAGGGAUAGACGGAAAGAGCAGGGUUUACAACAGGAAGCAGGGCUGAGGUGAGAGGGAUAGAUGGAAAGAGCAGGGUUUACAACAGGAAGCAGGGCUGAGGUGAGAGGGAUAGACUGAGAGCAGGGUUUACAACAGGAAGCAGGGCUGAGGUGAGAGGGAUAGGCUGAGAGCAGGGUUUACAACAGGAAGCAGGGCUGAGGUGAGAGGGAUAGACUGAGAGAGCAGGGUUUACAACAGGAAGCAGGGCUGAGGUGAGAGGGAUAGAUGGAAAGAGCAGGGUUUACAACAGGAAGCAGGGCUGAGGUGAGAGGGAUAGGCUGAGAGCAGGGUUUACAACAGGAAGCAGGGCUGAGGUGAGAGGGAUAGACUGAGAGAGCAGGGUUUACAACAGGAAGCAGGGCUGAGGUGAGAGGGAUAGAUGGAAAGAGCAGGGUUUACAACAGGAAGCAGGGCUGAGGUGAGAGGGAUAGGCUGAGAGCAGGGUUUACAACAGGAAGCAGGGCUGAGGUGAGAGGGAUAGACUGAGAGAGCAGGGUUUACAACAGGAAGCAGGGCUGAGGUGAGAGGGAUAGAUGGAGAGAGCAGGGUUUACAACAGGAAGCAGGGCUGAGGUGAGAGGGAUAGACGGAGAGAGCAGGGUUUACAACAGGAAGCAGGGCUGAGGUGAGAGGGAUAGACGGAAAGAGCAGGGUUUACAACAGGAAGCAGGGCUGAGGUGAGAGGGAUAGACGGAAAGAGCAGGGUUUACAACAGGAAGCAGGGCUGAGGUGAGAGGGAUAGACGGAAAGAGCAGGGUUUACAACAGGAAGCAGGGCUGAGGUAAGAGGAUAGAUGGAGAGAGCAGGGUUUACAACAGGAAGCAGGGCUGAGGUGAGAGGGAUAGACGGAGAGAGCAGGGUUUACAACAGGAAGCAGGGCUGAGGUGAGAGGGAUAGAUGGAAAGAGCAGGGUUUACAACAGGUAGCAGGGCUGAGGUGAGAGGGAUAGAUGGAGAGAGCAGGGUUUACAACAGGUAGCAGGGCUGAGGUGAGAGGGAUAGACGGAGAGAGCAGGGUUUACAACAGGUAGCAGGGCUGAGGUGAGAGGGAUAGACGGAGAGAGCAGGGUUUACAACAGGAAGCAGGGCUGAGGUGAGAGGGAUAGAUGGAAAGAGCAGGGUUUACAACAGGAAGCAGGGCUGAGGUGAGAGGGAUAGGCUGAGAGCAGGGUUUACAACAGGAAGCAGGGCUGAGGUGAGAGGGAUAGACUGAGAGAGCAGGGUUUACAACAGGAAGCAGGGCUGAGGUGAGAGGGAUAGAUGGAGAGAGCAGGGUUUACAACAGGAAGCAGGGCUGAGGUGAGAGGGAUAGACGGAGAGAGCAGGGUUUACAACAGGAAGCAGGGCUGAGGUGAGAGGGAUAGACGGAAAGAGCAGGGUUUACAACAGGAAGCAGGGCUGAGGUGAGAGGGAUAGACGGAAAGAGCAGGGUUUACAACAGGAAGCAGGGCUGAGGUGAGAGGGAUAGAUGGAAAGAGCAGGGUUUACAACAGGUAGCAGGGCUGAGGUGAGAGGGAUAGAUGGAGAGAGCAGGGUUUACAACAGGUAGCAGGGCUGAGGUGAGAGGGAUAGGCUGAGAGAGCAGGGUUUACAACAGGAAGCAGGGCUGAGGUGAGAGGGAUAGACGGAAAGAGCAGGGUUUACAACAGGAAGCAGGGCUGAGGUGAGAGGGAUAGAUGGAAAGAGCAGGGUUUACAACAGGUAGCAGGGCUGAGGUGAGAGGGAUAG